rnacentral:lncRNA from 1 species
AAAAGAUGUGUAUAAAUCAAUUUAAUAUGAAAUAUGUUGGUGUGAAAUUAUGUCUUAUUCACGCAAUUGACACUUUCUGUUUUCACACUAUAUGAAGUUCAUGGUAAAAGUACACUUCUUUAUAAGCAAAUGUAUGUAUAUGACAAAAAAAAGGUCGACAACUUGAAUUUUUCGAGACAUUCAUAAUAUUAUUAUGGAUAGAGUCUAUUAUGUGAAGUCAAAUAAGUAUUAAAUCUGGAACCACGCUUGUACAGUUUUUUUAGGAAGUUACAUUCUCGCGAUAUUUUGAAAAAAUUUUUUUAAAGGUAAUUAUGUUUUUCUCUUUCUUACAUAUUUGCUGAAUUGCUAGAGUUAUUUAUAUUUCUUGUUGCCAUGCUUAUUUACAGUACUUAUACCAGUCCAUUUUCAUUCAGUUUGAGCUGCAAGGUGAAGCAGGAAAAUGGUGUCAAGUUUGAAGACAAGCCAAAGAUGCAGUCCUGGAUUUUCCUUGGAAAAUUUGAGCUGCAAGGUGAAGCAGGAAAGUGGUGUCAAGUUUGAAGGCAAGCCAAAGAUGCAGUCCUGGAUUUUCCUUGGAAAAUUUGAGCUGCAAGGUGAAGCAGGAAAAUGGUGUCAAGUUUGAAGACAAGCCAAAGAUGCAGUCCUGGAUUUUCCUUGGAAAAUUUGAGCUGCAAGGUGAAGCAGGAAAAUGGUGUCAAGUUUGAAGGGAAGCCAAAGAUGCAGUCCUGGAUUUUCCUUGGAAAGAGGCAGAAGACAAAAGAUGUUGAAUGUGACAGCUGUAAAUGCUAGAAAUGUAAGCAGUAGGCUACAAGACUGAUUUCCAAACCAAAUGAUAGGCACUGCAGAAACACCCAUGGAUGAAGAAUCAGAAGGCUUAAUCAACGGAUGGUGAAAAUUGUCACUUGCUGUUAGAAAAAUGCCAGCUGGAAAGAUAUAAUCCCACACCCCACCAGCACCAAGUCGGACAGAUGGUAUCUCAACAUAUAGUAGAUUCACGGUGAUACAUCGUAGAGCAGAUAUAGCUGGUCAAACCAUAUAAGAAUGUUGAGACAUGGAUAGUUGGUUUCCUGCGAAGAAGAAUGUAUAAUGUAACACCUGCAGCCAGAGAGUUUGGAGAAAUAGAUCAGCUCAAAGAACAUUGGAGGGGUCUGAUGACAAUAUUGAUAUAGGUUAUGAAGAGGUUGAAGUUGCAAGACUGAUGGAAAAUGACAGUGACUGGACAGACAAUGAUGAUGGUGAAGAACUAUAGAAAACUUGGGAAAACUUUUAAUAGUGGUCAUCAACAAGCAGUCAUUGAAUCCAGUAUUCCAGCCAAUGUAUCGCUCUCAGGUUGAAGUUGCAAGACUGAUGGAAAAUGACAGUGACUGGACAGACAAUGAUGAUGGUGAAGAACUAUAGAAAACUUGGGAAAACUUUUAAUAGUGGCCAUCAACAAGCAGUCAUUGAUUCCAGUAGUCCAGCCAAUGUAUCCCGUUAACUUUAAAGCAGGACUUGCACUGUCAUGUGGGGGGAAAAACAUGAAAUGGAGACGAUCACUUACCAGCGCACACAGUUGACUUGUGAAGAAAUUUCUUAUCAGUCAGGAAUUGGCCAAAAAGGAUGUUGAUACUGAUACAACUUCCUCGUAGCAACUUCAGUCCUACAGAUUUAUAAGGGGAGGCAACAAUUAUCACUAUUGACCUGGAAACCAUUGACCUAAUUCAAUAUGGGAAGAUGCCACAUGUCACACAAAGUCGCAUACCACAACAAACCGCUGUGGCACAGAUAUCUAUGUCACACCUAAAAAGGAAAUUUCACUAGAGGCACAAAGGAUCACCAGGAUAAAAAGCACAAUAGUCCAACACAUCUGUACCUGGAAUUAAGUCGACUGUAGAGAAAUUGCGAACUUGGCUUGAAAAGAUCCUAAAGUGAUUUUGGUAGCCAUAUAUGGAAGACAGUUUGAUUUUCCAGUUCUUGUCUCAGCUCUGCUGUGCACAAAUAUAACUAGGACAUUAUUCAGCUGAGUUUCUUCUAAAAAGUAUUCUUUUACCAGUGUUCAAGAAACUGUACCCUAAACAGUCAUACUUGCUAUGACACUACUUGGCAUCCGGUACAAUGCCUAUAACUGACAGACAGACAAAUUUAUUAUGAAAAACUGGGAAGGCAUGCCAAGGGUUUUCAUAUGUUAAAGAACAAUUUCAAGCAAUGAGGUAUACACAUAAAUUUGGUACCAUAAUGUUCAUAUCUUAAGUAAAAAAUGACAAUAAUUAUUGUAAUUGGAAAUUCGAGUUGUGUUAUUUUACUCUAUAUUUAAGAAAAUUAAUAUAUUCAAACUUGUAAGUUUUUUCAUUUGUUAAGAUGUUAUAUUAUAGCUUUAAGCCCUAAUGCCCUCUUUUUACAAUCUGCCUAAAGAAACACUAGUUGUUCUUGUUUAUUAUUUAGCCAUUUCCUUAAUGAAAAAUACACAACAAACUUCUAAGCUCAAGACUUUCCAAGGUUGACAAGUUAUUACUUUCUUUGAUUUUGCUUAAGUUUGUUAAUUAUUGUUAAAUACUUUUGUUCAGAAUUUAUUAAGGUGUAUAGUGCUACCUUUUAAUAGUAAAGUUACAAGGAGAAGACAACCUGUACUGUAAGCUAAUGUAGCUUUCUGUCCAAUGCCUGAAAUGUUUUUUGUAAAUAUUUCAUGACUUUCUGAAUAAAAAUGUUUAAUAAUUGAAAACUAUAAAUUAAGUUUAUAAACCUUUAAGGAGCAAGAAGACAAAAUUUCAUUUCAACUCGUGUAUAACAUUAACUUUGUGAUAUUUUUCUUAGUGAUAAGUUUCUCAGUGAUAACUAGACAUUUAAUUUUAUAUCUGUAUAGAUUUUUGUACAGUUAAUUCAAGUGUAUACAUGUACAAGACAGUAUUUAUAAAGAUUUUUUUAUGUUUAAUUAUUUAUAUUAGAGAAAACUGUUAAAUUUUAAUUACUUUAUAAGUGUACAUGUAAAUCCUACUUCACUAUACUUACAUAUUAUUGAAAGCUAAUGAGACUCCAUUGGAUAUAAGUGAAAUUGUUACUUUCAUGGUUUAUCCCAGGCAGAAAGAUCAUCAUUUUUAUGCCCCCGAAGGGAGGCAUAUUAGUUUUCAACUGUCCGUCCGUUAGUUCUUUCGUUAGUUAGUUAGUUAGUUACGUUACGUCACAACGGUAACUUUUUGCAUGAAGGCACUUUACUG